rnacentral:rRNA from 1 species
GACGAACGCUGGCGGCGUGCCUAAUACAUGCAAGUAGAACGCUGAAGGAGGAGCUUGCUUCUCUGGAUGAGUUGCGAACGGGUGAGUAACGCGUAGGUAACCUGCCUGGUAGCGGGGGAUAACUAUUGGAAACGAUAGCUAAUACCGCAUAAGAGUAGAUGUUGCAUGACAUUUGCUUAAAAGGUGCAAUUGCAUCACUACCAGAUGGACCUGCGUUGUAUUAGCUAGUUGGUGGGGUAACGGCUCACCAAGGCGACGAUACGUAGCCGACCUGAGAGGGUGAUCGGCCACACUGGGACUGAGACACGGCCCAGACGCCUACGGGAGGCAGCAGUAGGGAAUCUUCGGCAAUGGACGGAAGUCUGACCGAGCAACGCCGCGUGAGUGAAGAAGGUUUUCGGAUCGUAAAGCUCUGUUGUAAGAGAAGAACGAGUGUGAGAGUGGAAAGUUCACGCUGUGACGGUAUCUUACCAGAAAGGGACGGCUAACUACGUG